GUGCACCAGGCGAGAAACCUCCGCAAUGCGGGAAACCGCGACGGGGGACCCCGAGUGCCGUGGCAACGCCACGGCUUUUCCGGAGUGUAAAAGCUCCGGGAAUAAGGGCUGGGCAAGGCCGGUGGCAGCCGCCGCGGUAAUACCGGCGGCCCGAGUGGUGGCCGCUAUUAUUGGGCCUAAAGCGUCCGUAGCCGGGCCCGUAAGUCCCUGGCGAAAUCCCACGGCUCAACCGUGGGGCUUGCUGGGGAUACUGCGGGUCUUGGGACCGGGAGAGGCGGGGGGUACCCCUGGGGUAGGGGUGAAAUCCUAUAAUCCCAGGGGGACCGCCAGUGGCGAAGGCGCCCCGCUGGAACGGGUCCGACGGUGAGGGACGAAGGCCAGGGGAGCAAACCGGAUUAGAUACCCCUGUAGU
rnacentral:rRNA from 1 species